CGGGACGGGUGAGUAAUGUCUGGGAACUGCCUGAUGGAGGGGGAUAACUACUGGAAACGGUAGCUAAUACCGCAUAACGUCGCAAGACCGAAAGAGGGGGACCUUCGGGCCUCUUGCCAUCGGAUGUGCCCAGAUGGGAUUAGCUAGUAGGUGGGGUAACGGCUCACCUAGGCGACGAUCCCUAGCUGGUCUGAGAGGAUGACCAGCCACACUGGAACUGAGACACGGUCCAG
rnacentral:rRNA from 1 species